rnacentral:lncRNA from 1 species
GCGGGCUUGAAUGAUUGGCCUGAUGUGUUUUGAUGUCGGCUGCCGGGUGUCUUAUGGACGUGCUGGCAAUCUACUAAGUCGGGACAUGAAGACAGUGACUUAUGAGGAUGUGCAUGUGAACUUCACUCAGGAAGAGUGGGCUUUGCUGGAUCCCUUCCAGAAGAAGCUCUACAAAGAUGUCAUGCUGGAGACCUACAAGAACCUCAAUGCUAUAGGCUUUAAUUGGGAAGACCAAAAUAUUGAGGAACAUUGUCAAAGAUCUAGAAGACAGAGAAGGUACUUCUUAAAUGCAAGCUCAUACAAAUAUGCCUCUGAAGAAAUUUUAAUGUGUGUUGAAAGUUUGAAAGUAAAGCAACAGUGUACCUAAGAACUGCUUUAAGUAUAUUGGUGAUCAAUACAUUCUAACAAAACCAUGGUAUUCCAUGUGCUUUUAUCUUAUUUGUUUUCAAUGCAAUUUUUUUAAUAAAGUGGACUUUUAAACACUG